rnacentral:lncRNA from 1 species
AAUAGUAUAAGUAAUAUGUUGUCAUUAUCACCAAGUAGUAAGAAAAUAGGAGUGGGACACCAGUUAGAGGUCAUUCUUGUAUUAUUAUGGAUUUUUUUUUUCUAAGAUUGCCAUUUCUUGUGUUUCUUGUAUAUUUGAGAGUAGUAAUUCCAGUUAAGAGUUAACAGUGAGGAGUCGAUGACAAGUGUCGAUUGAAGAUGUUCUAGUAUGGAUGAGUUAGU